rnacentral:rRNA from 1 species
GACGAACGCUGGCGGCGUGCCUAAUACAUGCAAGUCGAGCGAAGUUUUUCUGGUGCUUGCACCGGAAAAACUUAGCGGCGAACGGGUGAGUAACACGUAAAGAACCUGCCUCAUAGACUGGGACAACUAUUGGAAACGAUAGCUAAUACCGGAUAAUAGCAUUAACUGCAUGGUUGAUGCUUAAAAGUUGGUUUUGCUAACACUAUGAGAUGGCUUUGCGGUGCAUUAGCUAGUUGGUGGGGUAAAGGCCUACCAAGGCGACGAUGCAUAGCCGACCUGAGAGGGUGAUCGGCCACACUGGGACUGAGACACGGCCCAGACUCCUACGGGAGGCAGCAGUAGGGAAUCUUCCGCAAUGGGCGAAAGCCUGACGGAGCAACGCCGCGUGAGUGAAGAAGGAUUUCGGUUCGUAAAGCUCUGUUGUUAGGGAAGAAUGAUUGUGUAGUAACUAUACACAGUAGAGACGGUACCUAACCAGAAAGCCACGGCUAACUACGUG